AACGAACGCUGGCGGCAUGCCUAACACAUGCAAGUCGAACGAAGCCUUCGGGCUUAAUGGCGCACGGGUGCGUAACGCGUGGGAAUCUGCCCUUGGGUUCGGAAUAACAGUUAGAAAUGACUGCUAAUACCGGAUGAUGUCUUCGGACCAAAGAUUUAUCGCCCAAGGAUGAGCCCGCGUAGGAUUAGGUAGUUGGUGGGGUAAUGGCCCACCAAGCCGACGAUCCUUAGCUGGUCUGAGAGGACGAUCAGCCACACUGGGACUGAGACACGGCCCAGACUCCUACGGGAGGCAGCAGUGGGGAAUAUUGGACAAUGGGCGAAAGCCUGAUCCAGCAAUGCCGCGUGAGUGAUGAAGGCCUUAGGGUUGUAAAGCUCUUUUACCAGGGAUGAUAAUGACAGUACCUGGAGAAUAAGCUCCGGCUAACUCCGUGCCAGCAGCCGCGGUAA
rnacentral:rRNA from 1 species